UUCUAGCCCCGAUAGUAACGGUUACCCCACAGCAUAGGUUGGUGAGCGGGGCUAAGCUAGGGGAACACUGGCGCGAGGAGUAUGAGUGGAUAGCGGGAUCAAGC
rnacentral:misc_RNA from 1 species